AGCAGCCGCGGUAAUUCCAGCUCCAAUAGCGUAUAUUAAAGUUGUUGCAGUUAAAAAGCUCGUAGUUGAAUUUCGGGAUCAGAUUGUUGGUCGUGCCUCGGUACGCACUGGCAUUAUUGGUUCCUACCUUCUGAAGAACCGCGAUGUCAUUAAUUUGGUGUCGUGGGGAAUCAGGACUGUUACUUUGAAAAAAUUAGAGUGUUUAAAGCAGGCGCACGCUUGAAUACAUUAGCAUGGAAUAAUGAAAUAGGACGCUUGAUUCUAUUUUGUUGGUUUCUAGGAUCGACGUAAUGAUUAAUAGGGAUAGUUGGGGGCAUUAGUAUUCAAUUGUCAGAGGUGAAAUUCUUGGAUUUAUUGAAGACUAACUACUGCGAAAGCAUUUGCCAAGGAUGUUUUCAUUAAUCAAGAACGAAAGUUAGGGGAUCGAAGACGAUCAGAUACCGUCGUAGU
rnacentral:rRNA from 1 species